AGCUGAAGCUUGUGUUUCCUCCCUUGCGUCAAACUCUGGCUUGUUUUCUGCACAUCCUCUCUUUGUCUAUUUAGCUGCCUCUUGCUUCCACCCUGGGAAGUGCACACACAAUGCCAGUCACGGAGUGGGAUGAAGUGUGAGUUUGGUACUUAGGGCCAGCUCGGGGAAUGCCCAGGUGAGGUUUUCCCAGCUCUUGGCCAGACUUCCUGCUGGAGCCUCGAAGGCAAUUGGCAAGAUCAGUGUCACUUUAAGAUCAGUGUCUCUGAUAUUCUCAUCUCCCUCUCUCCCAAUCUCCCUUCUCGGACUCACAGAAUUCGUACGUUUAUGUGGUGGGUGGUUGUGUGGGAGAGAAGGCCUUCUCUAGCAGUGUCCUGCACAAAUUGGGUAAGCCAGGCGCUCACUUGGUCUUCCUUUUUUUCUCAUGGGAGGAAUACCAGCUUUCUUUUUUUUCUCUAAAGUGUGCCACCUUCUGGGAGGAAUAAUGCUUGCAAAGUUCCUCCCACCCACUCCAAGGCAUCCAAACUCUUCUGGGUUGUUUUUUGUUUUUUCGCGCUGGAACUUUUCCUCCAUAAACCUGAACUUUCACGAAGGCACUCUUGUCUGUAAAUAUCUGCCCAAGUCUGUGUUUUCCAGGCACCACGACCAAAAGGGAUUGGAUCUGGUUCACAGGAUCCUACUGGUUCCACUGGGGUCUAUCUGCCUAUUAUCCAGUUCACAGGUUCCGAGGCAUAUAUCUAAAGCAUGGAUUCCAUUUCUCAACCGGCUGUGACCUUGAUCCAUGACCAAGCCCCUUGAGCAGAAUGUUUUCAUAUGAACACUCUAUGGAAAUAAAAAUAAAAUACCAGCAAUAGUUCUGCUACCAGCGUGGGGAAUUCAAAGUGACGUUAAGUUCAUCGUCAGUCUUCUGCUCCUCCCAGCAGGAAGUCAGUGAGCUGUUUAAGUCAAUUGCUGA